UAAUACGGGGGGUGCGAGCGUUGUCCAGAAUCACUGGGCGUAAAGGGCGCGUAGGUGGUUUGAUAAGGGUGUGGUGAAAGCCCGGGGCUCAACCCCGGGUCUGCCGUGCCGACUGUCAAACUCGAGGGCUGUAGAGGCAGACGGAAUUCCGGGUGUAGCGGUGGAAUGCGUAGAGAUCCGGAGGAAGACCGGUGGCGAAGGCGGUCUGCUGGGCAGUUUCUGACACUGAUGCGCGACAGCGUGGGGAGCAAACAGGAUUAGAUACCCUGGUAGUCCACGCCGUAAACGAUGGGUACUAGGUGCCUGGGGGAGCGACCCUCUGGGUGCCGGCGCUAACGCAGGAAGUACCCCGCCUGGGGAGUACGACCGCAAGGUU
rnacentral:rRNA from 1 species